AUCCUUUAUUAGUUGAUCUCAUCUUUUUUAUUUUUUAAUAUUAUAGGUUACAACGAUGUUGAAGUAAAUAUACAGUUAAUAUUUUAUCUGUUAAAAUAUGUUGCUCUCUUAUGAGAUUAUGCUAGAAGAAAAUAAAAUGAUGGUGGCGUAAGUGAUAGUGAGGUUACUGAAAAUGUCACUAGCAGAUUUGAUGGACCAAAGAUUCGCAAAGACGCAGUUCUAAAUGUUCAGAUUCUUCAUCGUACAAAGCAAGAUUAUAAGAAGAUUUAAAGUUGAAAAUUAAACUAUUUUGGUUAUUGAUUGUUGCUUUGGAUUAAACUGAUAUGUUUUUAGACUUUAUUAUUUUAUUUUAUGUUUAUUAUGUUGAUGUGAUGAUUUUGGAGUGAUUUCGAUCAUCCCCUGAACUUGUUUUGAUAUGACACUUUUUAAUCUUAUUUCUAUUUGGCUGAUUUUUUUCUUUGUAGUAGUAUUUACUACUAUUCAGUUGUUUCAUUAUUGUUUUUGUCUUUUUGGGAUCUUCAUUUUGUAGUAGUAGUAGUACGAAUUGUUGUUUCUGUGAGAUAUAUCAGAGAUUUUAGCAUAUAUUUGUUACAAAUUUCUAAAAUUUUUAAGGUUGGGUAUUUUCUCUUAUCAAGGAAAGAGUUAUUCUUAUGUUUUUACUAUGGAUUUAAUAUUUGUGG
rnacentral:lncRNA from 1 species